rnacentral:rRNA from 1 species
AGAGUUUGAACCUGGUCAGAACGAACGCUGCUGUAGCGGUCAGAUGUGGAGCUUGCUCCCUGAUGUUAUGCGGCGGACGGGUGAGUAACACGUGGGUAACCUGCCUGUAAGACUGGGAUAACUCCGGGAAACCGGGGCUAAUACCGGAUGCUUGUUUGAACCGCAUGGUUCAAACAUAAAAGGUGGCUUCGGCUACCACUUACAGAUGGACCCGCGGCGCAUUAGCUAGUUGGUGAGGUAAUGGCUCACCAAGGCGACGAUGCGUAGCCGACCUGAGAGGGUGAUCGGCCACACUGGGACUGAGACACGGCCCAGACUCCUACGGGAGGCAGCAGUAGGGAAUCUUCCGCAAUGGACGAAAGUCUGACGGAGCAACGCCGCGUGAGUGAUGAAGGUUUUCGGAUCGUAAAGCUCUGUUGUUAGGGAAGAACAAGUACCGUUCGAAUAGGGCGGUACCUUGACGGUACCUAACCAGAAAGCCACGGCUAACUACGUGCCAGCAGCCGCGGUAAUACGUAGGUGGCAAGCGUUGUCCGGAAAUUAUUGGGCGUAAAGGGCUCGCAGGCGGUUUCUUAAGUCUGAUGUGAAAGCCCCCGGCUCAACCGGGGAGGGUCAUUGGAAACUGGGGAACUUGAGUGCAGAAGAGGAGAGUGGAAUUCCACGUGUAGCGGUGAAAUGCGUAGAGAUGUGGAGGAACACCAGUGGCGAAGGCGACUCUCUGGUCUGUAACUGACGCUGAGGAGCGAAAGCGUGGGGAGCGAACAGGAUUAGAUACCCUGGUAGUCCACGCCGUAAACGAUGAGUGCUAAGUGUUAGGGGGUUUCCGCCCUUAGUGCUGCAGCUAACGCAUUAAGCACUCCGCCUGGGGAGUACGGUCGCAAGACUGAAACUCAAAGGAAUUGACGGGGGCCCGCACAAGCGGUGGAGCAUGUGGUUUAAUUCGAAGCAACGCGAAGAACCUUACCAGGUCUUGACAUCCUCUGACAAUCCUAGAGAUAGGACGUCCCCUUCGGGGGCAGAGUGACAGGUGGUGCAUGGUUGUCGUCAGCUCGUGUCGUGAGAUGUUGGGUUAAGUCCCGCAACGAGCGCAACCCUUGAUCUUAGUUGCCAGCAUUCAGUUGGGCACUCUAAGGUGACUGCCGGUGACAAACCGGAGGAAGGUGGGGAUGACGUCAAAUCAUCAUGCCCCUUAUGACCUGGGCUACACACGUGCUACAAUGGACAGAACAAAGGGCAGCGAAACCGCGAGGUUAAGCCAAUCCCACAAAUCUGUUCUCAGUUCGGAUCGCAGUCUGCAACUCGACUGCGUGAAGCUGGAAUCGCUAGUAAUCGCGGAUCAGCAUGCCGCGGUGAAUACGUUACCCGGGCCUUGUACACACCGCCCGUCACACCACGAGAGUUUGUAACACUCACGAAGUCGGUGAGGUAACUACAUCGGAGGGGUAAGUCGUAACAAGGUAGCCGUA